AUGGAUAAAGUUUCUAUAUUGAGCUGGAAUGUUCGGGGUACCAACAAUGUGGUCAAUCGAUUUAACAUUCGUUCAUUAAUGUUAGAUAGUAAAGCAAUGAUACUAUGUCUUCAAGAGACAAAAAGAGCCCAGUGGAAUGAAAAAAUGAUUGGUUCAUUAGGAAUCACUGGGGAGGCUCAGUGGAUUGAUUCUCCCUCUCAAGGCCUUUCUGGCGGACUUCUUUUGGCUUGGGAUAGAUCAAUUAUUGUGACUUCUGAUAUGGGGUGCCACCAAAACUGGCAAUGGAUUAUUGGAUCUCAGAUAGGGUGUGCUGAUGAAUUCUUAUGUGUUAACAUAUAUGCUCCUCAAAAGAGCGUUCAUAAGCAAAAGCUGUGGCUAGAGAUCUCCUCCUUUUUACUCUCAAAGUCCAAUUUGCCAUUAGUUGUCCUUGGAGAUUUUAAUGUCGUUCUAUCUGAUCUAGAAAGGGAAAAUUGUAUCUACAAUGAUAGAGACACAACAGCCCUACUAGCAUUCAUGAACGACAAUGGUCUGUCGGAUGUUCCCCUGAAUAAUGGUUUGUUUACUUGGUUUGGUCCUGAAAACAGAAAGAGUAGACUUGACCGUGCUCUGAUCAACUCAAAAUGGAAUAACACAGGUAACUGGUCGCUCCAAGGGCUUAAUAGAAAAUCCUCGGACCAUCGCCCAAUAUUUCUCUAUAGCAACAAGUCAGAUUGGGGCCCUCGCCCAUUCAGAUUGUUCAACUGCUGGCUUCAAAAUGCUGAAUUCCUAAGAAGUCUGGGUGAAGUGUGGAAGGCAAAUUCGACCUCCUCUCUCAACACUCGUUUUAGGGAAAUACGCAGGUAUGCCAAGAUGUGGAACCAAAACUCGAAUGGUAAUGUGGAUGCCAAGAUAGCUAAACUGGAGAAAGACCAAGAGGAGGCUGAUGACAAAAAUGAGGCACAGAGUAUAAAAAAGAAAAUAAAGGAAGAAUUGGAGUUAGCUUAUGAGCAUAAAUCGAGCAUGUUGUGCCAACUUUCAAGAAUGAACUGGCAAUUGCAUGGGGAGCGUAAUUCAAGAAUCUUUCACAGAGCCAUUGCAGGCAGAAAUCGAGUCAAACUCAUCCAUGGUUUAGAGAUGAAUUCAGGAUGGACUACAGAACCUAACAUAAUCAAAAGAGUCUUCUUCAAACACUUUCAAGACUUCUUCUGCAGACCCCCUGCUGAUCGAAUUUUCUCCCUUCAUCAAGGACUUCUCCCAAGUCUUUCUAACGAGGGCAGUAAACUCCUAGUAGAGGAUUUCACUGAACUAGAAAUCUGGCAGGCUCUGCAAGCCUCGGACUCGAACAAAGCGCCGGGACCUGAUGGUGUUAAUCCAGGGGUACUGAAAGCACUCUGGCCAACUAUAAAAGGAGAUAUCUGCAGCACAUUCAAUAUCUUCCAUUCCUCGGGAUUCAUUCCUCCGGGAUCUAACUCUUCGUUUAUAGCUCUAAUUCCGAAAAAGAGUGCUGCUUCAAAGCCUUCAGACUUCCGCCCUAUUUCUCUAAUGAAUUCAAGCAUGAAACUCAUCUCCAAGGUCUUGGCUAGAAGGUUGAGUCCUUUCAUGAACACUCUAAUUUCCCAUACUCAGACAGCUUUUGUAAAAGGAAGGCAAAUCUCAGACGGUAUUCUCCUCACUUCAGAAAUUUAUCACUCUCUAAAAUCAGCUCGUAGCAGGGGUCUUAUUCUUAAAAUUGACUUUGCAAAAGCGUUUGAUUCUAUAAACUGGGGAUUCCUAUUUGAGGUAAUGGAACUAAUGCAGUUUGAUUCGAAGUGGAUCCACUGGAUCAGAAAACUUUUUGAUUCCUCGAGGGUAUCGAUCCUAGUUAAUGGCAGCCCUACGGAUGAAUUCCACCCUACCAGGGGUCUCCGUCAAGGAGAUCCUUUAUCUCCUCUCCUAUUCAACCUUAUUGGCGAGGCUCUCUCAUGUUUACUCAAAUCUGCUCAUAAUUCAGGGUUGUUUAAUGGAGUAUCAGUAGCCGGCCAUCCAGAAAAAAUUUCUCACCUACAGUUCGCGGACGAUAUUAUUUUAUUUGUGGCAAAUGACUCUCACUCAGUUCGUGGGAUCAAGGCAACACUUAAAAUCUUUGAGGUAAUUUCAGGGCUAAAGAUCAACUAUGGGAAAAGCAAACUGUAUGGAUUCAAAGAAAGUCCUGAGCAACUUAAGCAGUGGGCUGAUUGGUUAGGUUGUUCCAUCGGUAAUGACCAAUUCACUUAUUUAGGUGCUACUAUCGGCCAGUCACCAAAGAAAUCUAUCUUCUGGAAACCACUUGAGCAGAAAUUAGUGUCUAAACUGCAAAAAUGGGACUCAGCUAAUGUUUCAAUGGCGGGCCGAUUGGUUCUCCUUCAAUCUGUGCUUGAUAGCUUGCCGGCGUAUUGGUUCAGUUUGUUUAAAAUGCCUCAAAAAACUAUCAAGUUCAUAGACAAGAAGCGUAGACAUUUCCUGUGGGGAGGUAAAUCAGAUGCGGCAAGGAAAAUGCACCUCUUAAAUUGGGAACGCCUCUGCAUUCCAAAACAUUCUGGUGGUUUAGGCAUUGCCCCUCUCGAAGCUAGAAACAUUUCACUAUUAUCUAAAUGGUGGUGGAGAUGCUACUCGCAAAGAGACCACCUCUGGAACAAAAUUUUAUCUCGUAAGUAUGGAGAAAAGAUUAGGUUCAACCUUGGAUCCCUGGCUGGAAGCCAAGGCAUUUCCCCGAUUAUGCAAGGCAUUUCUAGCAUUCGAAACAACAGAGCUGUGGAACCUCUUCUUAAUGAUAACAGUUUUAAAUGGAAACUCGGGAAUGGGGAGUCGAUUUUUUUCUGGGAAGAUUGGUGGAGGGGGGACAGACCUCUAUCGUCUUUAUACCCUCGAAUAUAUACCCUUUCAAGGUUGAAGUUUAAAUCAGUUGCUGAGUUUUUAGUUCUUUGGACUGAAAAUGGUCUCAAUUCAAGCAUCUGGCAAGAUGGUAUUAUCCCCACUGAUAUGGCAGAAAUUUCAUCAUUGAACGACUUAAUAGAAGACCUCCAAGUUACACAUCAACAGGAUACCCUGGUUUGGCUAGGGGACAAGUGUUCUUUCUCCUCUAAAGUCAUCCUAAAGCGCAUUGUGCCUGCUAGUACUUCUUCUAACCCCAGGCAAAGAAUUUGGUCACUAAUUUGGAGUCUCAAAGUUCCACCGAAGAUUAGAAUAUUUCUAUGGAAAAUUCAAUGGGGAGUACUACCAACCAAAUUUUUGCUUCAUUCCAGGAUGCCAGACUUAAAUCCAAUGUGUGAUAAGUGUGGUAACAGGGUUGAGACUUUAAAUCAUCUGCUUUGGGAGUGUGAAGUGGCUAAAUGGGUGUGGAAAUUUAUAGCAAUUUGGUGGAAUUUAGAAUCAAAAUUUAGACGACUAAAUUACUUUUCACUCGAGAUUAUUAUGUCAUUCCAACGUUCAGCGGUAUCAUCAAGAGUAUGGCACACGGUUGUUGCAGCGGCAGUUUGGUCCAUUUGGCUGGCAAGAAACGAGUUGGUAUUCCAAUCUACCUCGCCUUCUCGCUCAUGCCUUCUCAACUUAAUUUUCACCAGAAUCAGCAAAUGGGGUGAGGCCUCUAAACUGAUUCCUUUUGCAGCUGACCCACUUUGGAAAUCCAACCCCAAUGGAGCUGUGGCAAUUUAUUUCAAUAAACUGAAUACGGAGUACUGGAAUUAUAAACUGAUGUCACAUGACUUAGUAUGUGCAGUGGAUGGUGCUUGGGGUGAGUGUGUGGAUGGAUCAUUUAAAGGUGCAAUUGGUGGUCGAGUUGUAAAUAAAAAUAAGAAGAUUCUGCAUGUUUUCUCGAUACCGGUACAAGUGGAAAAUGGUCUUCAAGCUGAACUGGAAGCUCUAAUCUAUGCUAUAGGACUGGCCUCUAGCCACUAUCACAAGGUCACUAGAUAUGCAAUUUGUUCUGACUCUAAGGAAGCUCUUCAGUUAAUCCGGGAUAGGGAGGAAGUAGGCAAUAUCUUGCAACGUUCAAUUUCAGAUUUUAUUCCCCUUCUGGAUUCUUCAGUCAGCCUAUACUAUGUCUCAAGGGAACUCAAUGUUGAAGCAGAUGCUCUAGCUAAAAAGGGCAUCCAAAGAAUUGCACCAGCUGUAUUCUGGGAUAUUGGACAGCAAAGCUACGAUAUGAUAGACUUACAGGAAUCGAAAUCUCCAUGACAGAAGAUAUGGAUACUUCUCUCAGAAUAUCUCCAGGUUUUAAGGAUUGCUGGAUCUUUAUCCAUUGGUUUUGGUUCCAUCUAGUUUCCAUCAGUCUAUUUACUGCUUCUGCAACUUUCUCUUGGGGUAUUUAUACCCCUCCUGGUAGUCUGGAUCAGUACGCUUUCUAACGUUGGUGUGCUAAAUCUCUCUAAGCCUCCAAUGGACUACAUGUGGCUUCCUCCAGAUCCAAACACCCUUAAGAUCAAUGUGCACUGCAUUACCACAGCUGAGCCCCUUCCUAAUGGCAAUAGUAAUAGUGUGGGGGUUAUUGUGAGGGAUCCAACUGGGAAAGAAAUCUGGAGCGCCGCGGGGCCAAUGCCAGGGAAAUCUAAACUUCAUGCUACUCUCUGGGGCAUCUAUCAUGGUGCUCUGCAGUGUCACCAGUUGGAAGAGUGGAAAACCCACAUUGAAACAGACCACUGGGGAGCCUUUGAGGCCAUUCGUUUUCAAGAGGAGAUGCCUCCGCAGGAGAAUGUGCAGGAAGUCCUUCGCCUCUUUAAUACUCUACACUCCAACAACUUCAAGAUUGGAACCACUGUUCGAGAAAUUACUCGUAUUCCAAUAGUGCAGAAUGGAACAGCGGCGUACCUUGCCCGCUAUGGUUUGGAUAAUAUGAGUCUCUUUGCAGAAACUCCAGGUUCCUUUGGAGAGAAACAGUUCAUGUUGGCCAGAGAUAUGUGUAACACCCGUGAAAUUCACAAGUAUGAAAGAAAUACAUUUAUUUAAUGUAAUUAAUUAUUGUGCAAAAAAGACUAUUUUAUCAGUCUCGGAUUUAAUAGAAAUUUAUAAUGCGAGAAGUAGUAAUUAAAAUAUUGUAGCUGCAAGAAUUCUAGAAAAUGCGUAGCAUUAUUGUGUAUGAACCAAUAUUUAAUAUUAGAAAUGUACAUUAACCCGAGAGCUGCGUUUAUACCAAAAAUAUAGUAGACGCGAUUAUUUAUUUAUAGACUCUUGAAUAAAUAUUAUGUUUUAGUCGAGCUGAUUAUAGUAUCUGUAUUACUUUAUAAAUUUGGGGGAUUGGUAAGAAAAUAUUAAAAUAGUUAUUGAUAUAUUUAUUAAAUUAUUUUGUACGAUAUUUAAUUAUAUUCGUCCGCGGUUAAUAAAAUAAAACGAUACGAGAAAAUUAGAAAUAAGCGAAGCUAAUAAAUUUUUCGGAGCGUUGCUUGCAGCGCAAGCAUUAAAGCUUAGGGCCCAAGUCUCGAUACUUAGCGCCCAAGUAAGAUUAUUAAUUAACAUAUAAUUAGUAGUCAUUAAGGAUUAAUGAGGAUUAGCAAAAUGAUAUAAAUACCAAAGAAAUGAAUCUAAAAUUCUCACAAAAACCUGUGAAAGGAAGGAUAGCAAACCAGUAGUGUAAAAGGAGGGUGUUUACAACUCAAGCAUAUUUUAAGGAGCUUUUCUUCCCCAAAUAUUUGAAAACUAAAAUUAGGUUCACAACGUUUGGGGUUUUGACUUGAUUGUUGCUUGUGUUGUUUUAAUCGAAGUUUGAGUUAAAUUGCGGGCUGAAUUGUUGACGGAAUCGGAGCUGUUAGCGUGCGGAGUGGACGGUCGGAGCUCGCGUCGGCGUCGCCGACGGAGCCUCGCGGAGGUGACAGGAGAGGGAGGUCGAGAAAGAAAGAAAAGGGGGAAGAGAGUGGUUGUGUGUGCCGAGUGCGUGUGUGUUGUGUGCGUUGUGUGUGUGAGUCGAGUGUGUGCGUGUAGGAUGAACCACCGCUGCUGCGGUGGUGGUGAUGAGGUCGACGGAAAGAGAGGGAGGGAGAGAGGAGAGAUGUGGAGAGGGAGGUGAGAUGGAGAAGACAAGGGCAAGUCAUUGAAUUAUAAAUCGAUUCUGAUAAAUAAUCCGCUGGGCAUUAAUUUGAUGUCGGAAUGUAAAAUAAAAUUCAUAUUUGGAUUCCUUGUGAAAAAAUAGAUGGAAUGGACUCUAGAAUCACAUGAUUUGGAUGAAAAAUGAGGGAGUAAUGCUUGGUCAAAGUUUGGCCAUGGGUGUUGACUUCGGGGAGAGAGAAAGUAGAUGGGUGUGUUGGAGAAGAUGAUGAUGUGGCAGCUUGUGAUUGGCUAAAAUAUUAAAGACUAGUAUUAAAUUAAUUUGAGAGACUAAAUGAUGGAAUUAAUAAAAGUGUAAAACAUGAAAGUUUAAGUAAAUAAUAUUUCAGAUUUAAUGGUAAAACCUAAUUUUGGGUUCGAGAGAUAUUAAAUUAAUUUAUAUUAUGGUUGAUUUAAUAAAUAGUUAGUUAAAUUGGAGGAUUUAGUUAAUAAUUGGAUAAAACGAAUAGUUUAGAAAAAUGAGACUUUUGGGAUAGUAACAUGAGUUAGUAAGGAAUAUUUUGCUUAAAUUAAUAAUAAGAGGAGAAUAAAUGGGAAAUGAUCUAAAUAAAUAAGAUGAGGAAUUAUAAGUAGAUUUUACGAUAUCAUCAUUUUAAGAUUAGAUUCUAAUUUAUUAUUUUGUGACAUAGAAGAUUGAUUAUCUGGAAGGCGGGCUUGAUUAUUCAACUUAAAAUUGGAACGUGGUGCACUGUAAGUAUAUACUGUACCAUUCGCUGUUGAUAUUUCGUGAUGUUUUGGUGAACAUUUUUACUGAUGAUUUUCUGAUGAGAAAUGAGUAUUCUUGCAUUGAUACUUGAUGAACUGAUGAUGAUGCUUCCUUAUUGGAAGUAAAGCUAAACCAAUUGUUUAGCUGGCCGGGAUCCCAACUUGAUGAACUGAUGAACUUAUCGUGCUUGAAUACUCAUACUCAUACUCAUCUUGAUGUGUGAAACUGUUUGAUGACUCUGAUGAAAUAUUGAUUUGGUUCACCAAGUUUUGUGAAUAAAACUCAGUUGAAAUGUACGUAUAUGCUUACUGAGCUUUAUGAGCUCAUCCCUUUUUAUGUACUAAUCUUACAGGGAAGAAUUCUGGAGAAGGAUAUUCAGGCAAGGGUAAAAGUGUGAUGAACCGAAGUGCUAGACUUGGUUGGAUUUGAAAUUAGAAGUUUAGUAGAAGUAUUAUGUAAUCGAAAGAAAUAUUUGUGAACUUUUAGAAGAGUGAUGUAAGACUCUGAUGUAAGGUAAAAUAUGCCUUUAAAUUAUAUUAAGUUUGAGAUUACAAAGUUACAUUUCAGUGUGUUCAGUAGAAUGGCACCCCCGGGCCGGGUUGCUGAAGUCAUCACGGGCCGGGGGCGUCACAGGUGGUAUCAGAGCUAUAGGUUCGAGAAUCGGCGAAAGUAGGAUUAAGACUUUAGACUAGUGUGAUUUUUAAGUUAGAAAAGUGGUCUAGGGGAUAUAUGGAUCAUAGUGGUGAAUGUGCGGAUAAACUAUGUGUUUAGUACUUACUAUAGCUGGAACCCCCAGUGUAAAUGGGACUAUAGAUCCCGUUGAGGCCAAGAUAUGGCUAAGAGAAAUAAGGAAGACUUUUGAAAUAGUUGGUGGAGAAGAGGAUAAGAAAACUAUCUUUGAUGCUUAUUGCUUAAUGGAGAGGCUAAUUAUUUGUUAGAAGCUAAGCAAGUUAUAGAAGAAUCUAGUGUGAUAUAGAAAUAGCUGACCAGGAAGUAAUUAUAGUAGAUAAGGUUUGUCCUAGUUGUAAGAUAACCGUUCAAAAGAAAAUCUUUGAGAAAAAUCUUAUUUCUUUGACUUUUUUUUCAAUCCGAUUGGGAUGAACAACCCUAAUCAUAGGGGACACAAGGUAUACCUGUCUGUGUGAUAGGAGUUGGAUGGGACGCCAUCACUUGUGUGUGUUGUGAUUACAAGAAGGUUAACAACCUUUAGUAGUGUCUUAAUUUAGACACGCAACACUCAGUUCACUUGAUCAUAAUUGAUCUCCCAAUCAUCCUUUUACUUCAAAUGAAAGCUAUUUUGAAAACUCAUUGAUCAGUGAUUACCAUUGUUAAAGACUUCUAAGAAAGUUUAAAUUUCUUAUUUCCUUUGAGUUCUUUUCAAAAUGCUCAGAUUUAAAAUCCUUUGAUUGUGUUUUUUUUUAAAAUAUAGUUUGUUUGAGAAAGUGUUUUAAGAAGAUGUAUGGUGAUGUCAGAUCCAGACUCCCGGAUUUGAAGGAUGUCACAUAGCUUAUCGAGAAUUAAAUAAGAUACCCUUUACCUAGGGUUGAUGAUAUGUUUGACCAAUUGAAGGAUUCAUCUUACUUUUCUGAGAUAGACUUGAGAUCUGAAUACCAUCAAUUAAGGAUCAGACCUAAAAAAAUGUACCUAAGACGGCAUUUGCGACCCGACAUGAACAUUGUGAGUUCUUAAGAGAUGCCUUUCGGAUUGACUAAUGCACCUAUAGCAUUUAUGGAUCUUAUGAAUAGGGUAUUUAAGAAAUAUUCGGAUAAGUUUGUUGUUAUAUUAAUCCAUAAUAUUUAUCCUUUGACCAAAUUGAUUAGGAAAGAAGAGAAGUUUGAUGGACUAAGUACGAAUAGAGUUUUCAGGAAUCAAAGAAGCGACUACAAUGGCCGCCGUGUUAAUCUUACCUGACGAGACAUGAUCUUUGUAAUUUAUAGUGAUUCAUCUCACAAGGAACUAGGAUGUGUUUUUAUGCAAUAUGGAAAAGUGAUAGUAUAUGAGUUAAAGACAAUUUAAGGAUUUCAAGUUGAGAUAUCCUACCCAUGAUCUAGAAUUAACUACUAUAGUAUCUACUUUAAAGAUUUGGCAACCUUAGUUGUAUGGUGAGAAUUGUGAGAUAUUUACAUAUCAUAAGAGUUUAAAAUACUUGUUUACUCAAAAAGAGUUAAAUAUGAGACAAAUAGAAUUGUUAAAGGACUAUGACUGUACGAUUAACUAUCACACAGGGGAAAGCAAAUUUAGUUGCCAAGGUAUUAAGUUGAAAAGAAAGAAUUAAGGUUAUAUCAUUAUCAAAGGAAAUUGAUUAUGUAAAUGAAAAGGCUUGGAAUAGAGAUUAAGAAGUCAGAGCAUAAGGAGGGAAGAUUUAUGAGAGGUUAGUGCACCCAGAGUUAAUAAAAAGAGUUACUUAGGAAUUCGAAGAUGUAAUGAGGAAAAGCUACCCGGAGUAGUUAAGCACCAGUCGGGAUUCCGAGGACGGAAUCCUAUAAGGAGGGAAGAAUGUAACACCCGUGAAAUUCACAAGUAUGAAAGAAAUACAUUUAUUUAAUGUAAUUAAUUAUUGUGCAAAAAAGACUAUUUUAUCAGUCUCGGAUUUAAUAGAAAUUUAUAAUGCGAGAAGUAGUAAUUAAAAUAUUGUAGCUGCAAGAAUUCUAGAAAAUGCGUAGCAUUAUUGUGUAUGAACCAAUAUUUAAUAUUAGAAAUGUACAUUAACCCGAGAGCUGCGUUUAUACCAAAAAUAUAGUAGACGCGAUUAUUUAUUUAUAGACUCUUGAAUAAAUAUUAUGUUUUAGUCGAGCUGAUUAUAGUAUCUGUAUUACUUUAUAAAUUUGGGGGAUUGGUAAGAAAAUAUUAAAAUAGUUAUUGAUAUAUUUAUUAAAUUAUUUUGUACGAUAUUUAAUUAUAUUCGUCCGCGGUUAAUAAAAUAAAACGAUACGAGAAAAUUAGAAAUAAGCGAAGCUAAUAAAUUUUUCGGAGCGUUGCUUGCAGCGCAAGCAUUAAAGCUUAGGGCCCAAGUCUCGAUACUUAGCGCCCAAGUAAGAUUAUUAAUUAACAUAUAAUUAGUAGUCAUUAAGGAUUAAUGAGGAUUAGCAAAAUGAUAUAAAUACCAAAGAAAUGAAUCUAAAAUUCUCACAAAAACCUGUGAAAGGAAGGAUAGCAAACCAGUAGUGUAAAAGGAGGGUGUUUACAACUCAAGCAUAUUUUAAGGUAAAAGAAAAACUUCCUUUCACCUUCUUUUUAAUAUAUAGUUGUGAUGGUUAUAUUUAUAUUUUAUACUUGACUAAUUGGACUCUUGCUGUACUUUUAUAUUUAUUAAUUCACUAUGUUGGUGAAUAACUCAGACUUACACUUCCUCGUAUAACAGGAGCUUUUCUUCCCCAAAUAUUUGAAAACUAAAAUUAGGUUCACAACGUUUGGGGUUUUGACUUGAUUGUUGCUUGUGUUGUUUUAAUCGAAGUUUGAGUUAAAUUGCGGGCUGAAUUGUUGACGGAAUCGGAGCUGUUAGCGUGCGGAGUGGACGGUCGGAGCUCGCGUCGGCGUCGCCGACGGAGCCUCGCGGAGGUGACAGGAGAGGGAGGUCGAGAAAGAAAGAAAAGGGGGAAGAGAGUGGUUGUGUGUGCCGAGUGCGUGUGUGUUGUGUGCGUUGUGUGUGUGAGUCGAGUGUGUGCGUGUAGGAUGAACCACCGCUGCUGCGGUGGUGGUGAUGAGGUCGACGGAAAGAGAGGGAGGGAGAGAGGAGAGAUGUGGAGAGGGAGGUGAGAUGGAGAAGACAAGGGCAAGUCAUUGAAUUAUAAAUCGAUUCUGAUAAAUAAUCCGCUGGGCAUUAAUUUGAUGUCGGAAUGUAAAAUAAAAUUCAUAUUUGGAUUCCUUGUGAAAAAAUAGAUGGAAUGGACUCUAGAAUCACAUGAUUUGGAUGAAAAAUGAGGGAGUAAUGCUUGGUCAAAGUUUGGCCAUGGGUGUUGACUUCGGGGAGAGAGAAAGUAGAUGGGUGUGUUGGAGAAGAUGAUGAUGUGGCAGCUUGUGAUUGGCUAAAAUAUUAAAGACUAGUAUUAAAUUAAUUUGAGAGACUAAAUGAUGGAAUUAAUAAAAGUGUAAAACAUGAAAGUUUAAGUAAAUAAUAUUUCAGAUUUAAUGGUAAAACCUAAUUUUGGGUUCGAGAGAUAUUAAAUUAAUUUAUAUUAUGGUUGAUUUAAUAAAUAGUUAGUUAAAUUGGAGGAUUUAGUUAAUAAUUGGAUAAAACGAAUAGUUUAGAAAAAUGAGACUUUUGGGAUAGUAACAUGAGUUAGUAAGGAAUAUUUUGCUUAAAUUAAUAAUAAGAGGAGAAUAAAUGGGAAAUGAUCUAAAUAAAUAAGAUGAGGAAUUAUAAGUAGAUUUUACGAUAUCAUCAUUUUAAGAUUAGAUUCUAAUUUAUUAUUUUGUGACAUAGAAGAUUGAUUAUCUGGAAGGCGGGCUUGAUUAUUCAACUUAAAAUUGGAACGUGGUGCACUGUAAGUAUAUACUGUACCAUUCGCUGUUGAUAUUUCGUGAUGUUUUGGUGAACAUUUUUACUGAUGAUUUUCUGAUGAGAAAUGAGUAUUCUUGCAUUGAUACUUGAUGAACUGAUGAUGAUGCUUCCUUAUUGGAAGUAAAGCUAAACCAAUUGUUUAGCUGGCCGGGAUCCCAACUUGAUGAACUGAUGAACUUAUCGUGCUUGAAUACUCAUACUCAUACUCAUCUUGAUGUGUGAAACUGUUUGAUGACUCUGAUGAAAUAUUGAUUUGGUUCACCAAGUUUUGUGAAUAAAACUCAGUUGAAAUGUACGUAUAUGCUUACUGAGCUUUAUGAGCUCAUCCCUUUUUAUGUACUAAUCUUACAGGGAAGAAUUCUGGAGAAGGAUAUUCAGGCAAGGGUAAAAGUGUGAUGAACCGAAGUGCUAGACUUGGUUGGAUUUGAAAUUAGAAGUUUAGUAGAAGUAUUAUGUAAUCGAAAGAAAUAUUUGUGAACUUUUAGAAGAGUGAUGUAAGACUCUGAUGUAAGGUAAAAUAUGCCUUUAAAUUAUAUUAAGUUUGAGAUUACAAAGUUACAUUUCAGUGUGUUCAGUAGAAUGGCACCCCCGG